rnacentral:rRNA from 1 species
UCCUUAGAUGUCCUGGGCCGCACGCGCGCUACACUGAUGCAUGCAACGAGUUUAUAACCUUGGCCUGAAAGGUCUGGGUAAUCUUUUGAACGUGCAUCGUGAUAGGGAUAGAUUAUUGCAAUUGUUAAUCUUGAACGAGGAAUUCCUAGUAAACGCGAGUCAUCAGCUCGCAUUGAUUACGUCCCUGCCCUUUGUACACACCGCCCGUCGCACCUACCGAUUGAAUGGUUCGGUGAAGAUCUCGGACUUCGAUAUUUAUUCUUUAUUGAGUUUAUAUUGUGGGAAGUUAUCUAAACCUCAUCAUUUAGAGGAAGGUGAAGUCGUAACA